AGGCAUGCCAGCUUCAAAAGAGCUAGCUGGCAGGAGAAAAGGUAUGGAGCCAGGGAGGGAUAGCCAGUCCUUCCAGAAUUGCUGGUGACUGACAGCUGAUUUCUGUUAAAGGCUUUGCUCCCUGCAGAGCCACAGGCCUGGGUGCUUUCACUGACUUCUCCACCUGUAUCACAAAAUGCAACUUUCCUCAGCAGGAGUUUGAUGGAAAAAGAAAAAAAAAAUGCUCCCCUUUGAUGAUUUCCCAGACUGAUUUCCUUCAGAUGCUUUGCACGACAACUCUUACCAAUCCCAGAGACAUGGAAAGAUGUGUCAAAUGCAAUUGGAGGGUUCUGGGGUUUGGGGAAAAGUCACAUCAUGUCAAAAAGGUAAAAAUUGGGUGAGGAGAUUGUCAGGUGCAGGAAGCCAAGAAUAGCAGAUGUAAAAGCUCAAAGCAAUUUCUCGCCCGCAGACAAGAUCUUGCCAGACUCAAGUACACUUUACAUAAUUAUUCAAUAAAAAAUUGAGGAAAAAAUAGGGAGGGUCACUCCUCAGGUGCUUCUUCCAAAGCAAUGAUUUAAGAUUGAUGUUUCUCUUUAUUCCUCCUUUUUGUAUCUCAGUGCCAGAUUCUACUGCAGAGAUCUCAGAGACUUCUCAAAAUGGCCAGUGUGAGUUUAGUAUGAUAUCUAAUGGAAAUUAAUCAUGGCAAGUGUAAUUACUUAAUUUGAUUUACACUGUAUUUCAAUUAAAUCAAAUUAAAUUAUCUUUUCUUGAUGUGGCUGUGGCUACAUUUUAGAAUGCAGUAUUCUCAGACUACUCCAUAGCCCAGCUGCAGAUGGUUGCUUGUACUUAAAACUUAGAUUCUUUUGCAAAGAUGACAUAAACAGGAAUGUAAAUAAGGUAACAAGCAGGGGUGAAAUCCAGCAGAUUCUGACAGGUUCUGGAGAACCGGUAGCGGAAAUUUUGAGUAGUUCGGAGAACCAGCAAUUACCACCUCUGGAUGGUCCCAGAGUGGGGUGGGAAUGGAGAUUUUGCAGUGGUGUGCCCACCAAGCCACACCCCAUCCCCCAAACCACGCCCACAGAACCGGUAGUAAAAAAUUUGAAUUUCACCACUGGUAACAAGGAUGUAAAAGGAGGAUGAAAUGGUGUGACUGAGCAACUCUGGCUCCUGAACAUCUAGCCUGGAAGAACGAAAGACUGUAAGAUGAGGCUGAUGUAGCCUGAAAUGUUCUCCAGGUCACCAGGGGAGAAUCCAUCCAUCAAGGAAUAAAGUUUUAUUUGCA